rnacentral:rRNA from 1 species
CGGGGUGAGUAAUGUCUGGGAAACUGCCUGAUGAGGGGGAGUAACUACUGGAAACGGUAGCUAAUACCGCAUAACGUCUUCGGACCAAAGUGGGGGACCUUCGGGCCUCACGCCAUCGGAUGUGCCCAGAUGGGAUUAGCUAGUAGGUGGGGUAAUGGCUCACCUAGGCGACGAUCCCUAGCUGGUCUGAGAGGAUGACCAGCCACACUGGAACUGAGACACGGUCCAG